CUUAAGUCACCAUCAUUAUCUACCACACGUUCCGUGUCUUGUGUAUGCUGCGUUUGAGCGUUGUACAACGUAUUUUGUCAGAUCGACAGUUGUCGAAGGUUAUUCGCCAUCAUCAUCUACCACACGUUGUGUGUCUUGUGUAUGCUAUAAGCUUUUGAGCAUUGUGCAACGUAUUUUGUCAGAUCGACAGUUGUAGAACUUAAGUCACCAUCAUCAUCUACCACACGUUCCGUGUCUUGUGUAUGCCGCAUUGUCCAAC